GUGAGAUUAGCAUCCAGAAUCUCACAACUCUAGUGGUUGUUCGGCAACUUUCUUAGCUGUCGCUGCUCGAAGGAUAUUUAUUGUGAAUUUUGUGCGUUGUAGCUGACGGAAAUAACCCAUCUAUGCGCAAGAAAAAGCGUCCAACAGAUCGAGGUCAUCAGUUCUCUUUCAACAGAGAGCUUCCUCAAGAGAGCAAAGUUCUUGGCAUCAAAGACCGCGUCUAAAUGGCAAAAGGCGCGCUAAAUCUAACAAAAGCGACCUCAGGUACACAUGGUGCGGAUCUGAUGGAGGCUCUUCUGUUAGCUUUUGAGGAGAAAAUGGAGAGGAAAGGACUGACAUCGAGCCAACUGAGCUUAUCAUCAACUGGAAGCACAGCUAGUCCGGACCCCUCUCUUGUUUCUACACCAUCUACCACACGGUUUUCUUUUCCUUUAGCGUCUUCCACUCCAUCUUUGGGUAUUUCUUUGCCUUCCUCUGAUGCUGUUUCUCCAGUUUCCCCUCCACAUGCAGAACAUACACCACAAAGAAUGCAGAUCACCGCGCCUUCAGCAGAGAACGACCCCAUAUACAUGGUGUAUCUCUUCAGCGAGGAAGCUCUGCGAACUCUGUAUUUUUUUUUUUGUAACACUCUCUCCACAGCAUGCUGUUACUAUGGAAAACUCAUUGAUUGCGAUUUACUAAUCUUCAAUCGACAAAGUCACGUUGUGUCCGUAACAGUUUCAUGUGUAUGUGGAGAUUCAUUCAAGUGGCUCUCCUCCUCUAUCAUGGGAGGAUCUCCUCCAAAGUACUAUGUAAAUUUGAGUCUUGAAAAAGCAUUGUUAUGCAACCAUUGUGAAAAGGGUUUGCAAUGAGUCCAUGUCUGCUGCCUAGGAAGAAGUGAAAAGCACCCCUGGGUAUAUUGUAAAUGGAGAGAACAGUCUACUCAGUGAGCAAGAAUUUCAGGCUAACCUGCUGAUUGUUGCUGACCAUUAUCAGGUAAUUUGAAUGACUGUUUAUUGAGAGAAUGCGUAGUAGUCAUAAGGUACAAAGAGUUUUUCUCAGGUUACUCCUUCAAAAGAACAAUUUCACAAAGUCAAAAUUAUU
rnacentral:misc_RNA from 1 species